AUACGUAGGGUGCGAGCGUUAAUCGGAAUUACUGGGCGUAAAGCGUGCGCAGGCGGAUUGUUAAGCAAGAUGUGAAAUCCCCGGGCUCAACCUGGGAACUGCAUCCAAAACUGGCGAGCUAGAGUAGGGCAGAGGGUGGUGGAAUUUCCUGUGUAGCAGUGAAAUGCGUAGAGAUGUGGAGGAACACCAAUGGCGAAGGCAGCCCCCUGGGAUGACACUGACGCUCAUGUACGAAAGCGUGGGUAGC
rnacentral:rRNA from 1 species